rnacentral:rRNA from 1 species
AGCAGCCGCCACGGUAAUACGAAGGGGGCUAGCGUUGUUCGGAUUAACUGGGCGUAAAGCGCACGUAGGCGGCUUGGUAAGUUAGAGGUGAAAGCCCGGAGCUCAACUCCGGAAUUGCCUUUAAGACUGCCGAGCUAGUAGGUGAGAGAGGUAAGUGGAAUUCCGAGUGUAGAGGUGAAAUUCGUAGAUAUUCGGAAGAACACCAGUGGCGAAGGCGGCUUACUGGCUCAUUCUAGACGCUGAGGUGCGAAAGCGUGGGGAGCAAACAGGAUUAGAUACCCGAGUAGUCCCUGUCUCUUAUAC